rnacentral:rRNA from 1 species
CCUACGGGGGGCAGCAGUGGGGAAUAUUGGGCAAUGGGCGCAAGCCUGACCCAGCAACGCCGCGUGAAGGAAGAAGGCCCUCGGGUUGUAAACUUCUUUUGUCAGGGACGAAGCAAGUGACGGUACCUGACGAAUAAGCCACGGCUAACUACGUGCCAGCAGCCGCGGUAAUACGUAGGUGGCAAGCGUUAUCCGGAUUUAUUGGGUUUAAAGGGUGCGUAGGCGGGACCUUAAGUCAGCGGUAAAAUUGCGGUGCUCAACGCCGUAGAGCCGUUGAAACUGGGGUUCUUGAGUGAGCGAGAAGUAUGCGGAAUGCGUGGUGUAGCGGUGAAAUGCAUAGAUAUCACGCAGAACCCCGAUUGCGAAGGCAGCAUACCGGCGCUCAACUGACGCUGAGGCACGAAAGUGCGGGUAUCGAACAGGAUUAGAUACCCCUGUAGUC